AGCAAUAGAUAGCCAGAACUGGGCGAAGACAGGUUGGAGAAAAAAAAUGUAACACCGGAUGACACCGUCUUCAACGAAGGUAUAUAUAUGUCACAACCUGGGCGCAAGGGAAGAAAGAUAAACUUUAACCAAUGUGUGUCCAUGUAUGUGUUUGUGGUGGGGGGGAGGGUUGCACCUGCCAUGGUGGAGAUGGGGAUGGAAAUGGAUUUUUCCAGGCAAACAAAAUGGGGUGGGGACCAUGCUCCGCAAAGGAAGAGCCAGUGCAAGGUCACGGUCCUGCCAGGUCCCAGAGCUGCCGGGUCACAGAGCCUGGAGAUUACAGAGGAGCAAGGUCACAGAGCAGCCAGGUCACAGCGCUGACAGGUCACGGGGCCACCAGGUCACAGAGUUGCAGGUUACAGAGCUGCCGGGUCACCGAGCCUGGAGAUUACAGAGGAGCAAGGUCACGGAGCAGCCAGGUCACGGUGCUGCCAGGUCAUGGGGCCACCAGGUCACAGAGCUGCCGGGUCACAGAAGUGGGUGGCAGCCCAGGGCUGAAGCUGAGGAGGUCAUGCUUGCACCCAGCCACCGGCCACCACCGCAGUACAAGGCUCCAGCUCCGGUUUAUGAUGGGGACUCUGGAGCUAGGCCCCGGGGGACAAACCGCGCUCUCUUCGUGUGACCUCAAGCAAGUUACUCAACAGUCCUGGCCUUGGCCUCGUCACUUGUGA
rnacentral:lncRNA from 12 species